AGCCAAGGCUGUUUCCUGGUUGUCACUAGUUGUAAAUACCAAGACAGGAAGGCUCUCAAAGCCAUAGCCCAGAGGGGCCACUUGAUUGGCACUAGAGAAGUACCAGCAAGAUAAUGGGGGCCACGUGAGGGAAAUAAUUUACUUGAGUCCAAGCAGACUGAUCCACAAAAAUCGCAUUCAAGGAAUUCUGAAGAGUAAGACCCUGAUUCCUGGUAUCAGUCGCCCUUGAAAACCAACCUCAGUAUUACAGAGCUGCCGGUGAAAUAAAUGAUCUUUAAAGGA